rnacentral:rRNA from 1 species
AGAGCGAACGCUGGCGGCAGGCUUAACACAUGCAAGUCGAGCGGGCGUAGCAAUACGUCAGCGGCAGACGGGUGAGUAACGCGUGGGAACAUACCUUUUGGUUCGGAACAACACAGGGAAACUUGUGCUAAUACCGGAUAAGCCCUUACGGGGAAAGAUUUAUCGCCGAAAGGUUGGCCCGCGUCUGAUUAGCUAGUUGGUGAGGUAACGGCUCACCAAGGCGACGAUCAGUAGCUGGUCUGAGAGGAUGAUCAGCCACAUUGGGACUGAGACACGGCCCAAACUCCUACGGGAGGCAGCAGUGGGGAAUAUUGGACAAUGGGCGCAAGCCUGAUCCAGCCAUGCCGCGUGAGUGAUGAAGGCCCUAGGGUUGUAAAGCUCUUUUGUGCGGGAAGAUAAUGACGGUACCGCAAGAAUAAGCCCGGCUAACUUCGUGCCAGCAGCCGC